CACUGUGUGAGGUGUACGUACUGACGACACGUGAUAGCCUACUGGGCUCUAUGAAUGGAAAUAUCGACAGAAUAUAGUAUCAUUAAAAACAAAAGUGCAGAUGUAAAUCAACCAUGCACGGGGAACUAAUUCUGAUGAUCAAAUCUUGUCAGGAUAAAAUGAUUGUACAUGUGGUGUAACAUUAGAAUAAAACUCCACUGACGGAAUGCCUCGGAAUCAUUGGAUUGCAAUCAACGACGGAGCAGCACGGACUAUCGAUAGGCUAUGUACUGCCUGUAGCCUGGUCGACUCCUCUCGUACGACAGCCUACUGAGAUCGGUGUGUCGAGAAUCGGUAUGGUAGUUUAACAACAGCGAUGUCGGCCUGGCAGUUGAUGCGGCACGCACCUGUAGCCUGCUGCCAAAGUGAUGAAGAAUGUUUGUAAGAGAAGAGAAGAAGAGAAGAGGAGUAGACAACUUGUGACCUCUGUGAAACUGAUAACAAGGAAGGAAGUCCCCCCACACAAAGAGGGGAGAAACUGUUGGGCUUGCAGUAGACAGUGCCACAUGUUGUAGGAUGUGAUAAGCAAUGUAUGCGUAGGAGAAAACUUGUCGACUAUAUUGUCAUUGUUUGAGAAGAGGAGGGACGUUUAUGACGAAAUGGAAGAUGUAUAAACCAAUGUACAUCAUAUGAUUGGGGAGAGCUCUCGUAAAUAAACGUUGCUGACUAUUGUAGACCUUGCCUCUUGUCUGUUUCAUUUCAACAAGAAUCUGACAAAUUCUUGGUAACAGACCGAGUAGUUUAAUUGAAGUUCAGUUUAUGAACAUUGAGAACAUAAUUCUAGCGGCAUGCAUGCAUGGAUUAACCUGAAGUGAUACAUGAACUAAUGGAUAUUCUGCCAUAGACAGGACAAGUUACUUUC
ensembl:lncRNA